rnacentral:rRNA from 14 species
ACGGGUUUCAGGGUCAAGCUAAUCUGCCCUGGGUAAGUCGGGACCUAAGGCGAGGCCGACAGGCGUAGUCGAUGGACAACGGGUUGAUAUUCCCGUACCGGCGAAGAACCGCCCAAGCUAAUCCAGUAGUGCUAAGUGUCUGAAUCCCAGUGACUGAUCCCUUCGGGGUGACGCUCUGGGCCUAGCGCACGACCCCAUUCUGGUGCGGUUAGCGUAUUAACAGGUGUGACGCAGGAAGGUAGCCGGGCCAGGCAAUGGAAUCGACCUGGUCUAAGGGUGUAGGGCUGCUGGUAGGUAAAUCCGCCAGCUAUGUGCUUGAGACCUGAUGGGCGCCCACUUUGUGGGUGAUCCGGUGAUCCUAUGCUGCCAAGAAAAGCAUCGACGCGAGGUUCCAGCCGCCCGUACCCCAAACCGACUCAGGUGGUCAGGUAGAGAAUACCAAGGAGAUCGAGAGAAUCGUGGUUAAGGAACUCGGCAAAAUGCCCCCGUAACUUCGGGA